rnacentral:rRNA from 1 species
UACGAAGGGGCUAGCGUUGUUCGGAAUUACUGGGCGUAAAGCGCACGUAGGCGGAUUGUUAAGUCAGGGGUGAAAUCCUGGAGCUCAACUCCAGAACUGCCUUUGAUACUGGCGAUCUCGAGUCCGGGAGAGGUGGAGUGGAACUGCGAGUGUAGAGGUGAAAUUCGUAGAUAUUCGCAAGAACACCAGUGGCGAAGGCGGCUCACGUGGCCCGGUACUGACGCUGAGGUGCGAAAGCGUGGGGAGCAAACAGGG